AGUUUGAUAGACUAAAAAAGUCUUCGGGCUCAUAAUCUGAUAAUGAAAAUUAUUUUCUCAAACUA
rnacentral:tRNA from 1 species